AGAGUGAACGCUGGCGGCAGGCCUAACACAUGCAAGUCGAACGGCAGCACAGGAGAGCUUGCUCUCUGGGUGGCGAGGUGGCGGACGGGUGAGGAAUACGUCGGAAUCUGCCUAGUUUGUGGGGGAUAACGUAGGGAAACUUACGCUAAUACCGCAUACGACCUACGGGUGAAAGCGGAGGACCUUCGGGCUUCGCGCAGAUAGAUGAGCCGACGUCGGAUUAGCUAGUUGGCGGGUAAAGGCCCACAAGGCGACGAUCCGUAGCUGGCUGAGAGGAUGAUCAGCCACACUGGAACUGAGACACGGUCCAGACUCCGUACGGGAGGCAGCGAGUGGGGAAUAUUGGACAAUGGGCGCAAGCCUGAUCCAGCCAUGCGCCCCGUGU
rnacentral:rRNA from 1 species